CCUGGGCUCUCUGGUGUCCUCGUAGUCUUCCACUGUGAUGGAUACCUGCGACUGAUAUGUAAUCACAUCCUCAUUUAUACUCUCUGCCCACAUGAGAUAAAACUUUUGUCUUCCUUCCGUUUCAUUCCCGAUGCAGGGAUGGUCUCUGCUUGUGUGGGUUUACAGGGCCGAUGCAGCUUGAUUACCGUAUUGGCCCGAAUAUAAGACGGCCCUGAUUAUAAGACGACCCCCUCUUUUUCAAGCCUCAAGUUUGAAAAAAGACCAAAUUAAUUUUGAUACAGAAAAUAAUGACAGUACAUCUGAAACAAAUGAUUAGAACAAUAUAUUUGAGAGAAAAAGCAUGUUAUUUUGCCUCAUUCAAAUCUUAAUAUCUGAACAUUUAAAUAUGUAAACUAAAGUGUAAAUUACACCAUAACUUCUCAGCUGCCGGUUGACCUGGCCGAUCUUCGACCCACUUUUUUUCCAGAUUGUCGCUACGUUUCUCCAUUUUCUGUUAUCUCUUCUAUUAUUUUUAAUACUGCUUCUUACUGCUAUUUUUAAUUUUUCUUCUACAUGCUACCGCUAUUUUUAUUUUUAUUCUUCGUGACAGGGGUUGGCCUGGGGAGUUGAGUUCAGCAUUCGCUUCAAUGAUAUCUGGCGCCAUCUCGCCUCAUAAAUGGGUAUAAUGUAUAGACCUCGAAUAUAAGACGAACCCCAGUUUUUCAGUCUUAUUUCAAUGCAAAAAAGACAGUCUUUUAUUCGGGCCUAUACAGUAUAACACAAUAUUGUUCACGAUUGCACCACAGUGACAGCUGACCUCUGAAACCGGCAGCUUGUGCGCUUCUGUUCUGUAGAUGCCGAUAGGAAUGUCCCCUGUGGAGGAGCACAGCUUCUGGUAGAGCCUGCCGCAGCGAUCAAGUUGCAGUUGCUCUUACAGCGCACAGGAACCCCGAACCGGGCAUAGAGUCGAGGCCCAGCAGCAGCCUGGUGAUGGAGAUCAUGUAAUCCUUGACGAACGACUGUCCAAAGUGAGAAGUGUGUCUAGCAUGCUAACACUGAACACUUUGCCUGCUGCGAAGGGCAGGCGGAACAUAAACACCAGGUUGGAUCCUCUCUCCCUUUCCUUCUGCGGUGACUCACUUGGCCCGCAUCAGGUCCUGGUCUUUGAGAGCGGAGCCCUGCAGGUAGAUGACUCUCUGGGCCCACAGAGGAACAUGAAGUACUCUUCUAACCUGGACAUCCAUUUCUGCCGGGCACAAGAUCACCACGUAGUAAUCCUGCUUACACAUACACACACAUAUACAAACCUUUCACACAGAAUUCAUCUCAUUCUUGACCAUGUCAAGAGCAAACCAGUCGUCAGAUUUACAUCACAAUUUCAUUGAAAACAGGAAUAAUAAGAGUUCAUCUUGUCGGUCUUCCUUUAACUUGUGCCGGACUUGUAUGGACGUGCAAUUUUUGGAGGGCUGAAAUCGAGAGAUGUUUUGAUCAUUGUCAGAACCUAGAUUAUUAUAGUUAACUA